AACGAACGCUGGCGGCAGGCUUAACACAUGCAAGUCGAACGCCCCGCAAGGGGCGUGGCAGACGGGUGAGUAACGCGUGGGAACAUACCCUUUUCUACGGAAUAGCUCUGGGAAACUGGAAUUAAUACCGUAUACGCCCUACGGGGGAAAGAUUUAUCGGGGAAGGAUUGGCCCGCGUUGGAUUAGCUAGUUGGUGGGGUAAAGGCCUACCAAGGCGACGAUCCAUAGCUGGUCUGAGAGGAUGAUCAGCCACAUUGGGACUGAGACACGGCCCAAACUCCUACGGGAGGCAGCAGUGGGGAAUAUUGGACAAUGGGCGCAAGCCUGAUCCAGCCAUGCCGCGUGAGUGAUGAAGGCCUUAGGGUUGUAAAGCUCUUUCACCGAUGAAGAUAAUGACGGUAGUCGGAGAAGAAGCCCCGGCUAACUUCGUG
rnacentral:rRNA from 1 species